AGCUUUGCGCAGAGACGAUAACGUGACCAAUGAGGCUCUGCCGAGGUGUGUUUAUUGCUGGUUGAAAACAAAACAUAAGUAU
rnacentral:snRNA from 1 species